GAUGAAGAACGUAGCGAAAUGCGAUAAGUAGUGUGAAUUGCAGAAUUCAGUGAAUCAUCGAAUCUUUGAACGCACCUUGCGCCCUUUGGCUAUUCCGAAGGGCAUGCCUGUUUGAGUAUCAUGAACACCUCAACUCUCAUGGUUUUUCCAUGAUGGGCUUGGACUUUGGGGGUCUUGCUGGCCUAUAGUCAGCUCCUCUUAAAUGAAUCAGCUUGCCAGUGUUUGGUGGCAUCACAGGUGUGAUAACUAUCUACGCUUGUGGUUUUCCAUCAAGUCACCUUCAGCGAUGGAGGUUCGCUGGGGCUCAUAAAUGUCUCUCUUCAGUGGAGACAGCUUUUUGGACGUUUGAUCUCAAAUCAGGUAGGACUACCCGCUGAACUUAAGCAUAUCAAUAAGCGGAGGA
rnacentral:misc_RNA from 1 species